rnacentral:tRNA from 1 species
CAGAGAUGGCUGAGCUGGUCUAAGGCGCACGACUGGAAAUCGUGUAUACUAGGAAUAGUAUCGAGGGUUCGAAUCCCUCUCUCUGC